rnacentral:rRNA from 1 species
CCUACGGGAGGCAGCAGUGAGGAAUAUUGGUCAAUGGGCGCGAGCCUGAACCAGCCAAGUAGCGUGAAGGAUGACUGCCCUACGGUUUGUAAACUUCUUUUAUAAAGGAAUAAAGUGAGGCACGUGUGCCUUUUUGUAUUUACUUUAUGAAUAAGGAUCGGCUAACUCCGUGCCAGCAGCCUCGGUAAUACGGAGGAUCCGAGCGUUAUCCGGAUUUAUUUGGUUUAAAGGGAAAGUAGUUGGGUUGUUAAGUCAGUUGUGAAAGUAUGCGGUUCAACCGUAAAAUUGCAAUUGAUACUGGCAGUCUUGAGUACAGUUGAGGUAGGCGGAAUUCGUGGUGUAGCGGUGAAAUGCUUAGAUAUCACGAAGAACUCCGAUUGCGAAGGCAGCUUACUAAACUGCCACUGACAUUGAUGCUCGAAAGUGUGGGUAUCAAACAGGAUUAGAUACCCGUGUAGUC